CAGCGCCUGGUGGGGGAGGGAGACGAGGGUGGGAGAGGUCCACGGAGCUAGGGGAGCCUGGGAUGGGGAAAACGCUGUUUGGGUGUGAGUGGAAGGAACCGGAAGCCUUAGAGGAGAGAGACGGGAAAAGGUGUUGGAGGAAUUAGGAAGAAAAUAAACCAAUGGAGGCUGGUGGGGCCGUUCUCUCUCGCAGUGGGCACUGGGGAGGAAGUGAGGAGGCUUGCCAGGCGGUGCGGUAUGAAGUGAGGGCAGCUCCUUGGGGCUGCGGUACUGUGUGUAAACUAGGAGCCCACCGGUUACUCAUUUCCUCCUCCUCUUCACCAUUGCCACCUCAGGUCUCCCAUCCCUGUCGGCCCUAGCUCGAACUCAGCCGUAAUUGCCUUGCUUAAUCCCAGGGAUUUGACAGUUGCUCACUGGGCUUUGGCAUUAUGAGAGGCUCUCUUGUCAGCCCUGGCGGCACCUACCUUCCGUUUCUAGGGACUGGCUGGGGAGGAGAGACAGACAGUCAGAACUUCGUCCUCCAGAUUCCAGGCAACCCAGGGGAAUAUAAUGGAGGCAGAAGUAAUUCUGAGUCUGCCCUUGUAGCUAAAUAACGAGGUGCCUAAGGGGUUGAUACACUCAAGGGCUUCCAGAAAUUUUGCCUUGCCUUUCUGGGGUGCCCUCCAAUGAUCUCUAAGCACUUUAUGGGUUGCAUUUGUCAAGAGAAGGUGGGUGAAGAAACACUGUUCAGAUCUAUCCUGUCUAGCCCCGAAGAAAGAAGUCCCUGAUAAAUUGUAUACCUUGCAUCAGGCAUUCACUUCUCUGGGCUCCGAGUUUCUUCCGCAGGAAAUUGACCCGAGAUUCCCUUCUGGCUGUGACAUUUUAUGAUCUGUGAGUGGUAGAGCUUAGAGUAGAAGCCAUGGUCUUCAGUCUAGCUCUAUAGUUGCAUACUGCACUGUCUGUUUGGGGCUGAGGAUGGGUCUUCUCCCUUGGGGUACAGAUGUACCUGAGUCCAGCAAGGAACUGUGACCAGCCUGCAGGCUCAGGGUAUUUGGAGGUCUCUGUCAAAUGACUCCUCAGGUCUGCCCCCUUGCUUUUGGCCUUCCGUAGACAGACUCCCAGCCUGGAUGCUCUGGAACAGCUUUGGGGUUAGAUGCUUGGGAGUCCUUUUAAGUGAAACCAUGUGGGGCCUCUAUGAAAGAUAAAAGAUCAUGGGUACAAGGAAUGGACAGCAUUUCAAAUCAAGACUCAAGCAACACUUGAAGAUGAACUGUUAACAGAAAAUAAUAGUCUGAUCUAUACCCCGAGCAAGUGAAACGGAAAAGCUGGACUCUUCACGCGUCUCAUUCAUCCUUGUAACUCUCCUGGCAGCCUGAACAUCGGAGUCAUGCCUCUGCUGGCUGCCUGCUUUUCCUUUUCCCUCAGCCUCGCCCUGCACCCUGUGCUUCCCGCUCUUCCUUGCCCCCGUUCCUUUUCACCACUCUGCUUGUUUCUCCUAACAUGCCAAGGCUCCUUCCUGACCGCCUUCUAGAAGGGAGAAGCGGGGAAGCAGCCGCAGUUCCUGAUGCUCUGGAAGAACUGGAAGCUCCCAGGUAAUCGUCUCCCAGUCCCCUCUUCUUUCUGUUACUGAUUUCUCAGAUUAAAAAUGCUAGCUCCCCCUCUCAUUAAAUGAGAGAGAGAGAGAGAAUUUUGCAUGUGUCCACACUUCUCCACACAUGCAUUCAGAAUGGAGUGUGGCACUUGCCGUCACCAUGUCCCCUCUGCCCAGAGCCUUAAUCCUUUGAAGGAAGAUGGCUGAAAGAGAAUGAGCACGGACCUUCCUCAAACAAAUGCCCAUGUGAGCCUCACCCGGAUCGCCUGAAGAAGGACACAGCAUUUUGUAUCUCGUGGGUCACCUGCAGGCCGGAAGUUCCAGCAGGAACACUGGAGAAACUCUGAGGAGAGGAACUGUACUGGAGUCUGGCAAGCAAGGCACUGUGAAGUCCUCAUUGAGGACCCCAAGCGAGGGAGGGUAACGGAACCGGCGAGCCUGGGUCGAAACUCAGGGUUGUAACCAUCUUUGCCCUCCGUGUGUGCCUCACUGUUACGUGGCAUUAGCAAAAGCUCCCAUUGACCCAGUGUGCACCUGCUCAAAGCUAGUGGUGGUUUGCAUGCAUUAUUUUAUUUAAUCUUCUAAAAUAAGAGUUUAUUAAUAUCACUGCCUCUGUUUUAGAGUCAAGGAAAUGGGCUCAGAGAAGCUCAGCAAUUUGCUCAAGGUCACCCAGCUAAUAAGUGGAAGUUAUGAUUGUAAACACAGGAAAUCUUGAAUCUGGAGCCUAUGUGCAUAACCAUGACACGUUCUUUUUUUUUAAAGCAAAAUAAAGUUUAAAACCUUG